UACGAAAGGUGCAAGCGUUGUUCGGAAUGACUGGGCGUAAAGCGCACGUAGGUGGGCUUGUAAGUCGGAUGUGAAAGCCCCAGGCUUAACCUGGGAAUGGCACCCGAAACUAUAAGUCUUGAAUGCUUGAGAGGUUGGUGGAAUUCCUGGUGUAGGAGUGAAAUCCGUAGAUAUCAGGAGGAAUAUCGGAGGCGAAGGCGGCCAACUGGUGGUGCAUUGACACUGAGGUGCGAAAGCGUGGGGAGCAAACAGG
rnacentral:rRNA from 2 species